rnacentral:rRNA from 1 species
ACGGGUGAGUAACGCGUGGGAAUCUACCCAUCUCUACGGAAUAACGCAUGGAAACGUGUGCUAAUACCGUAUACGUCCUUCGGGAGAAAGAUUUAUCGGAGAUGGAUGAGCCCGCGUUGGAUUAGCUAGUUGGUGGGGUAAAGGCCUACCAAGGCGACGAUCCAUAGCUGGUCUGAGAGGAUGUUCAGCCACACUGGGACUGAGACACGGCCCAGACUCCUACGGGAGGCAGCAGUGGGGAAUAUUGGACAAUGGGCGCAAGCCUGAUCCAGCCAUGCCGCGUGAGUGAUGAAGGCCCUAGGGUUGUAAAGCUCUUUCACCGGUGAAGAUAAUGACGGUAACCGGAGAAGAAGCCCCGGCUAACUUCGUGCCAGCAGCCGCGGUAAUACGAAGGGGGCUAGCGUUGUUCGGAUUUACUGGGCGUAAAGCGCACGUAGGCGGACUAUUAAGUCAGGGGUGAAAUCCCGGGGCUCAACCCCGGAACUGCCUUUGAUACUGGUAGUCUUGAGUUCGAGAGAGGUGAGUGGAAUUCCGAGUGUAGAGGUGAAAUUCGUAGA